CCUACGGGAGGCAGCAGUAAGGAAUAUUGGUCAAUGGAGGCAACUCUGAACCAGCCAUGCCGCGUGCAGGAAGAAGGCCCUAUGGGUCGUAAACUGCUUUUGUACCAGAGAAAACCCGAGUACGUGUACUCGGUUGAUAGUAUGGUAAGAAUAAGCAUCGGCUAACUUCGUGCCAGCAGCCGCGGUAAGACGAAGGAUGCAAGCGUUAUCCGGAUUCAUUGGGUUUAAAGGGUGCGUAGGCGGACUGAUAAGUCAGUGGUGAAAUCUCUCAGCUUAACUGAGAAACUGCCAUUGAUACUGUUAGUCUAGAGUAUAGAUGACGUUGGCGGAAUAUGACAUGUAGUGGUGAAAUACUUAGAUAUGUCAUAGAACACCGAUUGCGAAGGCAGCUAACGAAACUAUAACUGACGCUGAGGCACGAAAGUGCGGGGAUCAAACAGGAUUAGAUACCCUGGUAGUCCGCACCGUAAACGAUGAUUACUCGUUGUUGGCAAUAUGACCGUCAGCGACCAAGCGAAAGCGANAAGUAAUCCACCUGGGGGUACGCGGCACGGUGAACUCAAAGGAUUGACGG
rnacentral:rRNA from 1 species